rnacentral:rRNA from 1 species
AAUCAACGCUGGCGGCGUGCCUCAGACAUGCAAGCCGAACGAUUAAACUUUCCUUCGGGAAAGAUAUAAAGUGGCGCACGGGUGAGUAACACGUAGGUAAUGUACCUUUGGGUGGGGAAUAACUUAGGGAAACUUAAGCUAAUACCGCAUAAUGCAGCGGCUCCUUCGGGAGACAGUUGUUAAAGAUUUAUCGCCUAAAGAGCAGCCUGCGGCAGAUUAGCUAGUUGGUAAGGUAACGGCUUACCAAGGCGACGAUCUGUAUCCGACCUGAGAGGGUGGUCGGACACACUGACACUGAAUAACGGGUCAGACUCCUACGGGAGGCAGCAGUCGGGAA